rnacentral:rRNA from 1 species
UGGGGAAUUUUGGACAAUGGGCGAAAGCCUGACGCAGCGACGCCGCGUGGACGAUGAAGGUCUUCGGAUCGUAAAGUCCUUUUCUGCGUGACGAGGAAGGACGGUAGCGCAGGAAUAAGUGUCGGCUAACUACGUGCCAGCAGCCGCGGUAACACGUAGGACGCAAGCGUUAUCCGGAAUUACUGGGCGUAAAGGGCGUGUAGGCGGCACGGUAAGUCAACCGUGAAAGCUCCCGGCUAAACUGGGAGAGGUCGGAUGAGACUGCCGAGCUAGAGGGUCGUAGAGGGGUGUGGAAUUCCGGGUGUAGUGGUGAAAUGCGUAGAGAUCCGGAGGAACACCAGAGGCGAAGGCGGCACCCUGGACGACACCAGACGCUGAGACGCGACAGCACGGGGAGCGAACGGGAUUAGAUACCCCUGUAGUCCCUGAGCGGGCUGGCAAGGCGCAU